rnacentral:misc_RNA from 1 species
AUCGUGUUGCCCCUGACCAAACAUCUCCUCGAGAGAUUUAUUUGUUCAGGGGCGGAAAUUGGCCUCCCGUGCCUUUUGUGUGCGGUUGGCUCAAAAAUGAGUCUCUGGUGACGGGCAUCACGACAUCGGUGGUUGUAAGAAGACCUUCUUGUGUCGUUGUGUAUACCCGCCGCAGUAGGGAACUCGAGGGCCCUUGGGCACAGCAAAAAUUGUGUGCACUUCGA